CGCAUCUGUGCAUGCAGCAUAUCAAUAAGCGGAGGAAAAGAAACUAACUAAGGAUUCCCUUAGUAACGGACGAGUGAAGCGGGAAGAGCUCAAAUUUGAAAUCUUAAAGGGUUUCCCUUUACGAAUUGUAGUUUAAAGAAGUGUUUUCUGUUGAGGUUUUGGUAAAAGUUCUUUGGAAUAGGACAUCAUAGAGGGUGAGAAUCCCGUAUUUGACCUUUACUUUCAACUUUGUGAUACACUUUCAAAGAGUCGGAUUGUUUGGGAAUGCAGUCCAAAAUGGGUGGUAAAUUUCAUCUAAAGCUAAAUAUUGGCGAGAGACCGAUAGCGAACAAGUACCGUGAGGGAAAGAUGAAAAGAACUUUGAAAAGAGAGUUAAACAGUACGUGAAAUUGUCAAAAGGGAAGCGUUUGACACCAGUGUUGUUUUUCUGAAAAUCAAUUAAAGAACUGUUUAUGCUAAGCUGUUUAGACUUUAUCAGCUAACUGUUUAGUUUUGAGCUUUUCUUUAAUGCACUUUUCCAGUUAACAAGUCAACAUCAAUUUCUUUUGCUGUAAAAAAGCUUGAGGAGGGUGGCUUGAGAUUCGUCUUAAGUGUUUAUAGCCUCUUGCCUAUGCAGUCGGAGAGAUUGAGGUCUGCAGCGUAGAUCCUUCGGGGCUAAAUGCAUUUGUGCUAAGUUAUAGCAUUUUAUAGACAACUUGUUGACUAUGAUUUGUCUCUGUAGCUUACUCGCUUAUGUUAUUUUACCUACGCUUAGGAUGUUGAAUCUGUGCGAGACUAC
rnacentral:rRNA from 1 species